CAGUCGCCGCGGGAAUACGAAGGGGGCUAGCGUUGUUCGGAUUUACUGGGCGUAAAGGGCGCGUAGGCGGACUGAUAAGUCAGGGGUGAAAUCCCAAGGCUCAACCUUGGAACUGCCUUUGAUACUGUUUGUCUUGAGUUCGAGAGAGGUAAGUGGAACUGCGAGUGUAGAGGUGAAAUUCGUAGAUAUUCGCAAGAACACCAGUGGCGAAGGCGGCUUACUGGCUCGAAACUGACGCUGAGGCGCGAAAGCGUGGGGAGCAAACAGGAUUAGAUACCCCAGUAGUCCCUGUCUCUUAUAC
rnacentral:rRNA from 1 species